rnacentral:rRNA from 1 species
AUACGUAGGGGGCGAGCGUUGUCCGGACUGAUUGGGCGUAAAGGGCGCGUAGGCGGCCCGGUAAGUCUGGAGUGAAAGUCCUGUUUUUAAGAUGGGAAUUGCUUUGGAUACUGUCGGGCUUGAGUGCGGGAUAGGACAGUGGAAUGACCAGUGUAGCGGUGAAAUGCGUAGAGAUUGGGAGGAACACCAGUGGCGAAGGCGACUUACUGGACUGUAACUGACGCUGAGGCGCGAAAGUGUGGGGAGCAAACAGGAUUAGAUACCCUGGUAGUCCACACUGUAAACGAUGAAUGCUAGGUGUAGGGGGUAUCGACCCCUUCUGUGCCGCAGUCAACACAAUAAGCAUUCCGCCUGGGGAGUACGGCCGCAAGGUUGAAACUCAAAUGAAUUGGCGGGG